GGAGUACUUGUCUUGGAUUUGUCUAGAUACGGAUGUAUCUAGACUUAUUUUAGUGCUAGAUACAUCCGUAUCUACACAAAUCUAAGACAAGUAAUUC
rnacentral:pre_miRNA from 1 species